UAGGGAAUCUUCGGCAAUGGACGGAAGUCUGACCGAGCAACGCCGCGUGAGUGAAGAAGGUUUUCGGAUCGUAAAGCUCUGUUGUAAGAGAAGAACGAGUGUGAGAGUGGAAAGUUCACACUGUGACGGUAACUUACCAGAAAGGGACGGCUAACUACGUGCCAGCAGCCGCGGUAAUACGUAGGUCCCGAGCGUUAUCCGGAUUUAUUGGGCGUAAAGCGAGCGCAGGCGGUUAGAUAAGUCUGAAGUUAAAGGCUGUGGCUUAACCAUAGUACGCUUUGGAAACUGUUUAACUUGAGUGCAGAAGGGGAGAGUGGAAUUCCAUGUGUAGCGGUGAAAUGCGUAGAUAUAUGGAGGAACACCGGUGGCGAAAGCGGCUCUCUGGUCUGUAACUAACGCUGAGGCUCGAAAGCGUGGGGAGCAAACAGGAUUAGAUACCCUGGUAGUCCACGCCGUAAACGAUGAGUGCUAGGUGUUGGGUCCUUUCCGGGACUCAGUGCCGCAGCUAACGCAUUAAGCACUCCGCCUGGGGAGUACGACCGCAAGGUUG
rnacentral:rRNA from 1 species